rnacentral:rRNA from 1 species
CGACAGGAGCGAAUCCCAAACCACGUCUCAGUUCGGAUCGGAGUCUGCAACCCGACUCCGUGAAGCUGGAUUCGCUAGUAAUCGCGCAUCAGCCAUGGCGCGGUGAAUACGUUCCCGGGCCUUGUACACACCGCCCGUCAAGCCAUGGGAGCCGGGGGUACCUGAAGUCCGUAACCGGGAGGAUCGGCCUAGGGUAAAACUGGUGACUGGGGCUAAGUCGUAACAAGGUACC